UGUUGGUCUCUCAUAAACAUCUUAGAGCCCGGAUUCUGUCUCGGCAUUUCAUGGCACCUGCUUCUAGAAAACCCAACCUGUGACACCAUAUUUAGUGAAUUACUUAUAAAGUCGUUCUACUUUUCCUGGGGAAUGAUCUUUCAGCCAUCACUUGACAGUAGAAUACAUGCUGAAUUAAGGUCCAGUGAUGACUGCCAGUACUAACCUGCCAUAUUAAAAACUAUCAAUUAAUUAUAUACCAGAAACUUAAUUUUUUUCUCUGAAAUGCAUUGCUAAAACCAUAGUUGUUGUUGUUUUUUUUAAUCAUGCUAUGUUGACCAGCCUGGCCUCCAUCUCCUGGCUCAAGUGAUCCUCCUGCCUCAGCCUCCCACAGUGCUGGAAUUACAGAAUGCCACGUGUUCCGUGCACAGGAGAGAACUUCCUCCAUCCAUCAGUACAGCAGCUGGAGAUCUUCCCUGGUGAUAAGGAUUUGGGAUAAGGAAUAAUCAAAGAAGGCAUUUCUCCAUUAAGCUGAGAAAGCAGUAGCCUGGAGCCAAAUAUGUCUUCUGGUUUUAUGGAUGCACAAACCCGCAAAAGCUUAAUGAAAAGGAACUUGAAAGGAGAAGAAGAUUAUCACAUUGCUUUUAGGUUCCCUGCUUGAUUACUUUUAGAUCUUUGCAGCAAACUUGGAAAGAUAUGCUUGCCAAAGAAUGGUCCUUUUGCUGGGAAGGUCAUCUUCUUUGAGCAUGCAGCUUCGAGAAGGAGGACAUGAGGAAGGUUGAGAGAAGAAGGGGACACCAAGCCAGCCAGGGAGAGAAAAGAGUAAAGAAACCCAUAUUUGUUGAGCUUUUCUUCUGGCAGCUAGCAAUAGCUAGUACCAAAUAAAUACAGCCUUUAGAAUUUCUAGAAAAAGAAAGAAAACAAAGCAACAAGAGUCGGAGUUGACUGUUCAGAAAAGAGUCAAUUCAGAAACAUUUAAAUGCAGUUACCAUGUAAUGAGAAAAGUUGAGGAUCGCUUGUGGGACAGGAGGCAGACAUGGGGGAUGCUCAGCUGGCUGAGAACUGCAGGAUAGAUAACCUUCUCAACAAAAAGUUGAAGAAAGCCAGCAGUGAAAAGAGAAAGCCAUAGCUAAAAGAAGAAUCAAGCACAAAGCAAAAGAUUUUCUUCCCACCUUGAGGCCUGAGAACUCCAUUCUCAUGCUCCCUUCACGAUCAUGAAGUGCUCAGUUGUCAUAAGUGUGGCUUUGAUGCCGUUAGACACCAUCUUCCCCUCAAAAUAUUUUCUCCCUCUGUGACUCUGAGAAAACCUCCCAUUCAGAAGCAAGCUCCAUGGUGGGGGACGUAGUGAAGUGGAUCAGCGAGAAGCUGCAGGGGCCCCAGGGAACUGUACUCCACUUCAAAGGCCAUUUGCCCACCGAGCCGAGCCCUCCUUUCACUCCUGGCCUUGCGUCUAAAGAUUAUGCUCCAUAGAAUAUUCUGAAGUGGCUACUGAAGAAUCUUGUGAAGUCAAGACACAAAGAGCCAUUCUGUUCUCAGAAAUGCCUACAUUUAUACUACUGAGAGUCUCGCACUUGUGUAUGAUAUCUCCUGCUCUCUAUCCUGCUGACUUCAAUCUGGCGGGACUGCCACAUGUCUUUGUACUCUGCACCGCACAUGUGCAUAUGGUGCCUGCUAAAUAUAAAUGCUGUUUGGCAGGAUCCUUUUUUCUCUUCCUUUGUUUCUGAAAAUGUAGUGAAGAAAAUGUGUAAUGUGUGCCCGCUCCAAAAUGAGAGAGACUUUCAGGAAGUGGAAUUAUCUUGACAACAAGCCACACAUUUUACAUAUUAUUUCAGCGUGUGGCAGUAGUGGUGGCAGUGACUGUCUGCUGCUUUGUCUGGUCAAACUGGGAAUGCUGAUCUGGUUUGUAGCCUCUCUUCAACGGAGGUCAGGCAAAUCCCUGCACUGCUGAACCAUCUGCCUGGUUUUCAGGUUCUGCCCUCCCAUCCUCCACCCAGGUACUAGUCAGGUUAGGCCAGUCUAUGCUGCUGUAACAAACAACUCAAAGCUCUCAGAGGCAUAACACAAUAUAUCUGUAUUUCCUGUUCAUAGUACGUGUUCACCGUCAGUUGGCGGGCCGCUCAUUAUAGUCGCCCGGGACCCAGGCAGAUGGAGGUGUCAUCCUGAUGUAUGUGUCCACCACCACUGCAGCCAUGGGGCAGGGAUGUGACGAGCCACCUUCUGGCUAUGAGAUUUUGCCCUGGAAGUGGCACACAUUACUUCUGCUCUCUCUUUAUUAAACAAAGUGAGUCCCACUCUAUGCCUAACAUCAGAGAAGAACAGGGAAGUAUGAUCUCUCCAUGUAUCUGAAAGCCAGAGAGCUAGACGGAUUUUGCUACUGGCAUUAAUGACAUCCACGUCUCCUGCCAGAAGUAAGAUGAGCGGGCAAUCACUCUGCUAUUGUCGGGGUGUCCAGGUACUUUCUAGGUGCACAAAUGGUGCUGUUGAGAGGAAAGAGCAAGACAUCACAGGUUAAAGCUAUUCUAUAAAGGCAUCUCAUAGAGUAGCACUGUCUUGAAACAGUGCUUAGACUUUUCAAGAAGUAUCAUAGCAUAAAGAAACUUGGACCAAGGGCAGUAAGGUGAGGGACACAGAAGCACACAGAUGCAGGCUCCACUGUGAGUCUCUGGAGCUGUGCCAAGGUCACACACAGCAUCACGUCGGAAUGGAGCAAAUGUAGAAGUCAGUGGAAUGGGGCUUGAGCCUUUCAGGAGCUGCCCUGCUGCCUGCUCUCUCUGCCAGGCUUCCCAGCGUCCCCGUGGGCUCUGCUCCUGCCAGGCGAGCCUGCUCUGACUUCUUUUGCUGGUGGCAGGACUUCAACAAAGCUGUGAUUGCAGGGAGUGUGGUUUGUUAGAUCUUAAGGACUGGAAGAAGUCCCAGAGCCACUUAGCAGGUGAAGAAUCAUGACUGUGUCUGAGCCAACUUCAGGGGCCUCACAUCUCUGGACUGAUUGCAUCGAGCGCAGGAAAAGCCCGAAGGAGAAGUUCCGAUCCGGAGGGCAGUUGAGGGGGCUUUGCCUGGUCGCACUCAUCACAGCUGGCAGGGGCCGCGGGAGGAGAGGCAGCCAGCAUGUGGCUUCUCAUCACCUGCCCAGACAGAUGACCCCGCCUCCGUAGGGGAGAGCGACAGAGAAGAGCAGCGGGGCUCUCUGGGGCAACCGAGGAGAGGCGACAAGACUAAUUCGACUGUCCACGGCCGCUCAGCACAACGUGAAACUCAGCAGCUUUGAGCAGGAUUCUGCUAAUGAAUGUGGAACCGAGGGACUGGCGGCCCCCUUUCCUCUGGUAUUAACAUUUUUUACUUUAUUUUAAUGAGGGAAAUGAGAUUCUUCUCAGUUUCCUAUCACCAAACCCGGUUUGGGAGGACAUGACAUUUAACAACAGUGCUUUGAAAAAUAUUAAGCAUUAUACAAAUACAAGGAAUUGUUGCUAUUAUUAUCCUGAUGAAGCACACACGCAGCUUGGGAUCAGCCUUAAUAUUGAGGGGGUAUUUAAGGGAUUAGGAAGGACUCUGUGACUAUUGGGGAGUGACUCAGGAUGGCCUUCAUAGAAGGGGCCAACUAAUCUGGCCAUAUUAAAUCCAUUUUUAGAAGCUAAAUACCCAAACUCUGAGUCAAUAAACCACCACACAGACAUAGAUCAUAAAACUUGAUCAUCUCCCAUCAGAUGCAACAAUCUCAUAAAUUAUAAAAUAUAUCAAGCGAUUAAUUCUAAUUUGAGGCCAUAACUUGAUUAGCUUCUAGGUAGAAGGAGGAAAUGGCUUUGGGUAGGAGCAUUGGUCCCAAAUUUCUUAAUAUAUAUUAUAGAUGUGGCCAAAGUGAAGUGGGGGGAGGAGCUGCAUGGUGGACUCGGGGCUGCAUCCAAAUAAUGCAGGAGAAAAUGGUCCAUUUUCUUUAAGUCAGAUGUACUUUAAGUCAGAUCCCAAAGGCUUUGAGAAACCACAUUUAAUCCUUACUAACCUGGGUGAAUUAGGGAUUAAGGUCAGUAUGAACUAGUGAACUUUUGAAUUACAGAUUGUUUUGAAAGACAUGUAUUUGUGUCAUUUUUCAAGUAUGGAGAAAUGCAAAAGUAAUGGAUAGGAGAGUGGGGUCAAAUACAGGUCCAUCCAGGCCUGCUUAACUAUCCUAAUUAUCAUUUACAUGCAAAUGAUUAGUAUCAUUUAGAGUAACCUCACAAUUCAUUCUUUAAAACAGGUCUCUUAUUUGCCUUUUAUUUUAAAAAACUUAAUACAGGGAGCAUGCCCUUUUUUAUUGUCCAGAAGAAAAUCUCAGCCACGUUAAGGAGGAGGUAUCCCAAACUGCUGAUGUGCUUGUACAGAUAGGAGACGUCAGAAGCCGAAACACCUGUCCCCACAGUCCCACUGCUCUCGCUGCCCCACAUGCAGCAGGUGGAGGCUGC